AGGGGCGAGCCAGGCUGUUGCGGGGAAGCUGGCCCUUGCGGAGCCGGGCCCUAGGGCGAGCCAGGCUGUUGCGGGGAUGAAGGCCCUUGCGACGACCCAGGCUGUUGCGGAGAUGAAGGCCCUUGCGGUGACCCAGGCUGUUGCGG